rnacentral:lncRNA from 1 species
AUUCUCAAAAAUCGUCAACGACCUUCAUGCUCUCGGGAAAGUGUACACGAACAAAGAUCUUGUUCGAAAAAUCCUACGGAGCCUCACUCCCAAAUGGCGUUCCAAAGCCGAUGCCAUCCAAGAGUCGAUAGGUAUCACGGAUAUCGCAAUUGAUGGACUAAGAGGUAACCUCGAAACUUAUGAAAGUACAACUCUUAAUCCCUAUCUUAGAAGUAGAAGUU